rnacentral:rRNA from 1 species
GACGAACGCUGGCGGCGUGCUUAACACAUGCAAGUCGAACGGAAAGGCCCUGCUUUUGUGGGGUGCUCGAGUGGCGAACUGGUGAGUAACACGUGAGUAACCUGCCCUUGACUUUGGGAUAACUUCAGGAAACUGGGGCUAAUACCGGAUAGGAGCUCCUGCUGCAUGGUGGGGGUUGGAAAGUUUCGGCGGUUGGGGAUGGACUCGCGGCUUAUCAGCUUGUUGGUGGGGUAGUGGCUUACCAAGGCUUUGACGGGUAGCCGGCCUGAGAGGGUGACCGGCCACAUUGGGACUGAGAUACGGCCCAGACUCCUACGGGAGGCAGCAGUGGGGAAUAUUGCACAAUGGGCGGAAGCCUGAUGCAGCAACGCCGCGUGCGGGAUGACGGCCUUCGGGUUGUAAACCGCUUUCGCCUGUGACGAAGCGUGAGUGACGGUAAUGGGUAAAGAAGCACCGGCUAACUACGUG